GAUGAACGCUGGCGGCGUGCCUAAUACAUGCAAGUCGAGCGAACAGAUGAGGAGCUUGCUCCUCUGACGUUAGCGGCGGACGGGUGAGUAACACGUGGAUAACCUACCUAUAAGACUGGGAUAACUUCGGGAAACCGGAGCUAAUACCGGAUAAUAUAUUGAACCGCAUGGUUCAAUAGUGAAAGACGGUUUUGCUGUCACUUAUAGAUGGAUCCGCGCCGCAUUAGCUAGUUGGUAAGGUAACGGCUUACCAAGGCAACGAUGCGUAGCCGACCUGAGAGGGUGAUCGGCCACACUGGAACUGAGACACGGUCCAGACUCCUACGGGAGGCAGCAGUAGGGAAUCUUCCGCAAUGGGCGAAAGCCUGACGGAGCAACGCCGCGUGAGUGAUGAAGGUCUUCGGAUCGUAAAACUCUGUUAUUAGGGAAGAACAAAUGUGUAAGUAACUAUGCACGUCUUGACGGUACCUAAGCAGAAAACCACGGCUAACUACGU
rnacentral:rRNA from 1 species